UACGUAGGGUGCGAGCGUUGCCCGGAAUUAUUGGGCGUAAAGAGCUCGUAGGCGGUCUGUCGAGUCUGCUGUGAAAACUCGGGGCUUAACCCCGAGCCUGCAGUGGAUACGGGCAGACUAGAGGUAGGUAGGGGAGAAUGGAAUUCCCGGUGUAGCGGUGAAAUGCGCAGAUAUCGGGAGGAACACCGGUGGCGAAGGCGGUUCUCUGGGCCUUACCUGACGCUGAGGAGCGAAAGCGUGGGGAGCGAACAGG
rnacentral:rRNA from 1 species